UGUGUGUGUGAAUCAUCAUCUUUAG
rnacentral:misc_RNA from 1 species